ACUGCCCCAUCCCUGGAGACUAGCCCCAAGAGCAGGGACAGAAUUAAGGGAAUGAAUCCAUCUCAGAACCUCCAGGGCUUUCCAGCCUGACCCAGCCAGUCUGUCCAAACAGGACAUGGAUAGCAAGCUGGGACAGAAAUGCUCUACCCAGUGCUGAUAGAGAGCAGUGGAAAGUGCCAUAUUCAAACACCACACCUGCCCAAGGAAUGCAGCGUCACCUGCGCUCAUUCCCUGAGCAAACCCCGCCAGAGCUGCCUGUGUUUACACUUCACAGGUCUCAAAAAGGUGCUUACAAGCUCGGGGGGCUCUGAGCUGGGCUGCCUCUUCCUCAGAGAGGAAAACCUCUGCUGACUCCGCACUGAAAACCUUCGGAAGGACUCUCUGCUCCGGGAUGCAAAGUGCCUGAAGGAAGAGGUUCUCUUGAAAGGAGUCCUGGUGCCACCUUCCCCUCCACUCCGCUCAUGAGCCACCGCAGUAGUGACUAAAUUUAGUGCUUCCUGCAAGGAUCUCCGCACUGUGCCCAUCCACUGGGUCAUGUGAGUUUGUGCCACUGUCAGUUUGUCUCCAAGGUAAUCCAUUUUUUAAAUUUUUUUUUUCCAGCAGAGAUGAAAUAUCAAUAUUCAGUAGCAAUUAAAAUAUAUUCUCCUUAACAA